CUCAAAAAGGCAAUAUAGAUAGCCAAGCUUACAAAAGCUCCAGAACAACAAAUUCGAUCACUUGAAGCUUUCUCAACGAGAUCCUUGCCAAGAAUGUCCAGUUCUAAGGGACUUAGUAGCUCUGUGCCUCCCCAAGGUGGCUCUGGAGCAUCCAAAAGGCACGCGGACACUCGUCAUGAAGUGACAAACCUUACAGGUAAAUGUUUUUUUUCUUCCAAAUUUUGUUCAAUCCAACCAUCCACAAUGCAGAACUUAUGUAUAAUAUGUUCCAAAAGGAUGUAUAAUAUCAACUGUAUCCAUCUAUCCCAAUUGUCUCUUGUAAAAAUACUGUAAAAUGAAACAUAAUUAAUUUACUACAUGAUUCAUUUUGAUUUCUACCUUUUGUUGGAGGUCGUCAGUGUCGUAGGCGGCAGCUUUGCAGGUUCUGAAGAUGCCGCUCGUUGCCGAAUGAUGAACAGCAGCUUCAGCUUGAUCAAGGCACGCCGGCGGCGCUGUCUUCAAGGAGAUUCACGCCCUCGCCGAGGUGCACGAGACGGACGGCGGCUCUCCUCCAAGAUACAAUGAUCUCGUAUCCUCAGCCGUGCACUCGGCCAAGAACGAACCAGCGGACUUUCGUGGGAUGUAACUCUCUCUAUGCAAAACAAGCAGAUGGAUGUGGGCAAAAACUUCGUGCAACAAAUACAGCAGCAGUGCCUUCCAGACUUGAACCUUAUGUCUAGCUAGUACAUGACUUAAUUUACACAGGAGCGCAGUGGAGGUAACCUUGAACUUUACUCCUUGGUGUGUAAACAUCAUCAAGUAGGUGCACAAUACACGGCUACAGCCACAAGAGCCCUUUCAGUUUUGUGCUUUUCGGUCAUACACAAGUAUCUUGGAUCUCAUGAGUGCUUUAGGAAGCGGCCAGCUAAACUUCCAUGGAUUGCGACCAAACAAUCACGCUCAAGUAGGUGGAUUCUCUAAGGAUAUCCUGCAAGGCACAUAUCCCAUCACUUAGAUUUGAAUCCAUUAAGAGACACAGCUCAACCUCUUCCUUGCAAAUUAGAAGUACUGAAUCAAUAGCAAGGGGUAUAAUGUAAUUUAAUCAGUACUCACCAUUACAGAUCAGCUUGUUUUCCCAUUGAACCUGUGUCAUGGGAUUUCCAAUCAAACAGGUUGGGUUGCCACUGUCAAUAAUUCAUUAGCAGGCCUCAGCCCCAUCCCUUUCGACAACUCUAAUAUUGGCUUUCGUGCUAAUCCUUUUGUGAAUGGAUCAGCCAAAUUCUUUUCUGUCUUGAUAUAGUCAAAUGUAACUACACCAGUAUUCCUCAAGUCUCUAACAGACUUUAGUCUCCUCUUCAUAUGUCUAGAAGAUUUCAUGUUUUCUUUCUUGCUUGUAACUUUAGCUAUCACAGCUUGAUUGUCACAAUACAAGAGCACUACAGGAAUUGGUUUUUCUACUAUUGGAAUAUCCAUCAA